rnacentral:rRNA from 1 species
GAUGAACGCUAGCGGCGGGCCUAACACAUGCAAGUCGAGGGGCAACAUAAAGUAAGCUUGCUUACUUGGUGGCGACCGGCGAACGGGGGAGUAACACGUACGUAACCUGCCUUCUGCUGGAGGAUAGCCUGAGGAAACUCGGAUUAAUACUCCAUAAUACAAAGUUACUGCAUGGUGACAUUGUUAAAGUUUUUGCGGCAGAAGAUGGACGUGCGUCCGAUUAGUUAGUUGGUGAGGUAAUGGCUCACCAAGACCACGAUCGGUAGGGGGCCUGAGAGGGUGAUCCCCCACACUGGUACUGAGACACGGACCAGACUCCUACGGGAGGCAGCAGUGAGGAAUAUUGGUCAAUGGAGGAAACUCUGAACCAGCUACGCCGCGUGCAGGAGGACAGCCUUAUGGGUUGUAAACUGCUUUUGUAGAGGAAUAAAUCUUUCUACGUGUAGAAAGUUGAAUGUACUCUACGAAUAAGUAUCGGCAAACUCCGUGCCAGCCGCCGCCGUAAAAC